AUGGCCAGCAGCCGGGUCACCUCCUCGCCGCGGUCCUCAGGUGCCGCAACCCCCGUUCCAUCCGCGGCCCCUGCCCAGGGGAGACCCUGGCACCGCCUCAACCAGACCCAGAGCAGCCCCCACGUCCUGCGGAGCGCGGCCACGUCCAGGAGCCGGCUCCCAGCUGCGCCCUGGAGCGCAGCAGCGCCGGCGCGGCCGCAGAGCCGCAGGCAUCCCAGCAGCAGCAUGAGGAGCAGCAGCAGGAGCGCCAGGAGCAUCCAGAGCAGGCGGAGGCCGAGCCGUGCCGCGGCGCGCAGGCACCGCGCUGCCCUCAACGACCCUCUCCGGGCGCGCUGCCCUACGGCGCGGCCCCAGCCACGCACUGAGCCCGGCUCCGCGGCUCCGAGGCGGCAGCAGGAGCAGAGCAGCCGUCCCCCGGCCUCUGCCGCCAGCCUGCGGGCCUGGAGCAGCGGCUCCCGCCAUCCAGCCGCGGCCUCGGUCCCGGCCCCGCGGCUCCUCCUCCGCGGCGGCUGCGGCCGCUUCCCCUCCCGCCUGCUGCCCUCCUCCUUCUCCUUGAGCGCCGAGCGCUGCCGCCGCCCGGGCCGCCGGAGCCCGUCCUCCUCCUCCUCCUCCUCCUCCUCGUCGGGCUCCUCCUCGGCCGCGGCACUCGGGGUAGCGACCGGUUCCCCCCGGCAGUGGCAGCAGCGCUCGGGGCCUGGGUCGUGCUCGCAGUCCCCGUCCUCGUCCUCCUCCUCCUCCCGGCCGGCAGCCGCUGCCUGCCCGCAGCUCCCGUUCCAGCCCGCGCUAUCCCAGCCGCGGCGGCCGCCGGUGACCCCGGGCUCCUCCAGGCUCCCACUGGAGCCGUCGCCUCCUUCAGCCGCCACCGCCGCUCCCCGGUGCCGCGGCUGCUCCAUCCCGGCGGCCCCACUGGCCCCGGACGGGCUUAAGUCACGGCCAUGUCCUGAAGGGCCAGAGCGGGUCAGGGCCGACGGUGCGGUCCCGGGAUGCCCCGACAGGCCCUGA
rnacentral:lncRNA from 1 species